rnacentral:rRNA from 1 species
UACGGAGGGUGCAAGCGUUAUCCGGAUUCACUGGGUUUAAAGGGUGCGUAGGUGGGCAGGUAAGUCAGUGGUGAAAUCUCCGGGCUUAACUCGGAAACUGCCAUUGAUACUAUCUGUCUUGAAUACCGUGGAGGUUAGCGGAAUAUGUCAUGUAGCGGUGAAAUGCUUAGAUAUGACAUAGAACACCAAUUGCGAAGGCAGCUGGCUACACGAAUAUUGACACUGAUGCACGAAAGCGUGGGAUCAACAGG